GAGGGUAUAGCUCAGUGGUAGAGCGCAUGCUUAGCACGCACGAUGUCCUGCCAAACCCCAGUACCUCCA
rnacentral:tRNA from 1 species